rnacentral:rRNA from 1 species
GAUCAUGGCUCAGGAUGAACGCUAGCGACAGGCUUAACACAUGCAAGUCGAGGGGCAGCGAGGCGUAGCAAUACGCCUGUCGGCGACCGGCGCACUGGUGAGUAACACGUAUGCGACCUGCCCCCUACAGGGGGUAUAACCCGUAGAAAUGCGGACUAAUCCCCCCAUAGUCCUGGGUGCUGCAUGGCAUUCAGGGGAAAGGCCAGCCGGUAGGGGAUGGGCAUGCGGCGCAUUAGCUAGUUGGCGGGGCAACCGGCCCACCAAGGCGACGAUGCGUAGGGGUUCUGAGAGGAAGUUCCCCCACACUGGUACUGAGACACGGACCAGACUCCUACGGGAGGCAGCAGUGAGGAAUAUUGGUCAAUGGGCGAGAGCCUGAACCAGCCAAGUAGCGUGCAGGACGACGGCCCUAUGGGUUGUAAACUGCUUUUAUAAGGGAAUAAAGUGGGUCACGUGUGACUUUUUGCAUGUACCUUAUGAAUAAGGACCGGCUAAUUCCGUG